rnacentral:misc_RNA from 1 species
AAAAGUCGUAACAAGGUUUCCGUAGGUGAACCUGCGGAAGGAUCAUUCACUUUUUAUUAUUUUGUUUUUUUUCUAAAACAAAAUUUAAAACCCCACAAUUUUGGAUGAAUUUAAUUAAUUUAUUUUUUAUUUUAUUUUUUUUUAUUAUAACCCUAUUAUUUGACUAACAUUUUUAUUUAAUUAUUAAAAAAUUAAAAAAACAACUCUUAACAACGGAUAUCUUGGCUCUCG